rnacentral:rRNA from 1 species
GGGAAUUUUGGACAAUGGGCGCAAGCCUGAUCCAGCCAUGCCGCGUGCGGGAAGAAGGCCUUCGGGUUGUAAACCGCUUUUGUCAGGGAAGAAACGCUCUGGGUUAAUACCCUGGGGUAAUGACGGUACCUGAAGAAUAAGCACCGGCUAACUACGUGCCAGCAGCCGCGGUAAUACGUAGGGUGCAAGCGUUAAUCGGAAUUACUGGGCGUAAAGCGUGCGCAGGCGGUCUUGCAAGACAGAUGUGAAAUCCCCGGGCUCAACCUGGGAACUGCAUUUGUGACUGCAAGGCUGGAGUGCGGCAGAGGGGGAUGGAAUUCCACGUGUAGCAGUGAAAUGCGUAGAGAUGUGGAGGAACACCGAUGGCGAAGGCAGCCCCCUGGGCCAGUACUGACGCUCAUGCACGAAAGCGUGGGGAGCAAA